AAAUUGAAGAGUUUGAUCAUGGCUCAGAUUGAACGCUGGCGGCAGGCCUAACACAUGCAAGUCGAACGGUAACAGGAAGCAGCUUGCUGCUUCGCUGACGAGUGGCGGACGGGUGAGUAAUGUCUGGGAAACUGCCCGAUGGAGGGGGAUAACUACUGGAAACGGUGGCUAAUACCGCAUAACGUCGCAAGACCAAAGAGGGGGACCUUCGGGCCUCUUGCCAUC
rnacentral:rRNA from 1 species